rnacentral:lncRNA from 1 species
UGACCUCUUCCUCUUUCAAUUUUCUGGAGUCCAACUCCUCACCAUUGUUACUAUAUAUAACCUCACUUUGACGAUCAAAGGAGAUUACAGUAUUUUGAAGUGUAGUCAACUCCUCUGUAAUUUUCUUAGCUCUCUUGCUGAGGGAGUAACGUGACUUCAAGUUUGGACACCAACCAUUAAAGUAACCCCUUUCAACCUCAGCUCUACCUCCCAUUACACCUUCCACUUGUGCAAUAGUGGAAUCAACACUUUCUAACCAAACCUCGCCACUGGGUGAAAUGAGUCGUAAGUUUCUCCGGGCAAUUUUCUCUUCUUGCUGCACCUCCCUUUUUCUUUUCUUCAGGUUCUCAGAUUCAUUUCCCAUAGAUGUGAUGUUAGUGUUGUAGUAAUAUAAAUACCCAAUCCCUUGCUCCAUUGGCUGCAUCAACCAACCAGUGACAUUCCCCACCAAAGUAUAUAAAGUUUCCAUAAUUUUUGGUUACAAGGAAGAAAAGCAAAGGUAGAAUGAAAAUAGGCUGAGAGUGAUGAAUGCAAGAGACGAAAUUCAAAACUGAUAAUAGCACCACUUUCAGGUAUUAACUCUACUAUUUUGGAAGUGACUAAUAAUUGUACUAUUCCAUUACAACUCUCACCCACCCCAAAAACUUUUAUUCAGAACAGAUGAAAAAAUAGACAUAAACCAUAAAUACAUACUCCUUUAAAUUUCGCUUUAACAGAUAUUUAUGUCAUUUAACUUUGGAUGUAUACAAAGUAAAUAUUAUUUAAAUUUGUAUAAAAUUGAAUAAGUAGACACACACGUCCUAUGUGAUAUAAUACCUUAAGACACAAAAUUGUUAUUUAGAAUGUAAUGUAAGACGAAUGUUUUAUAUGUUCAAUUUAAUAUAAAUUUAUGUGUUUAUUUGUGCACACCAAAAAUAAUUACAGAACAUAUAUAUUAGCGAAAACCAAGUUGAAGUAACAUGCCUUUGAUAGGAAAUAUUUUACCCCCAAAGUGAAACGAGUGAAUUUAAAUAUCUAAAGUAAAACCCAAAAUAUAUUUGCACAUCUUUGCGGUACUACUAUUAACUCUCCUCACAUGGACAUGUACUAUUUUGAAAGCGACUAAACAACAAACACAUGUUUGCCUUUCAACACCAAUGACUAAUUUACACGUUAAAAUUAAGGCAUUUGAAUUUGUAGUUUCAACAUAGAAUUAGUUAUUUUUUGGAAACAUUUUUUUAAAAAAAAUAGUAUAAUAUUACUAACGCUAAAUGAUGCAUUUGUUGGAUGUUGAGUUAUUUAACUAGAAGGCUAGCGAUCAAUUCUCACAUGGUAUUCUAUUUCCAUUUUCUUUUUAAUGUUAUCGUGUUUUAAAAAUCAUAUGGUGCUUAGUGCAAUAUUAACCUUAACUUCCUUAAAUUCUUAGAAUGGAUGUCUUACAAAAAUUACAAAGCAUUCUUUGACUUUUUCUACAAAAUAGAUAAGAAUUCCAUAUCUGAUUAAUUAAUUAAUGUUUCACUAAAUUUCUUAGUUACUACAAGGAAGCAAAGGUAGAAUGAAAAUAGG